GCAGUCCGCUGCAGGAGAGACAGGUGGUAGAGAGCUGCUGAUCGCUCUAGUCCUACCUCGUGUACCUUGCCAAAGGGAACUCUGGAGACUCAGUUUCGUUAUCCACAAAAUGGGGUUAAUGAUUCUUACAUUUUAGAGAUGUUUGGCGGUUAAAAGAAAGAUGUAUCUAAAUUACCUACGUGCCUAGAACUGGUCAGGCCAUGUAAUCCUGAGUUCUCAGAAGUGACUGCAGACUGCGAGGGAGGUGUCAGCCAAGAACUGGAAGAAUGGAGGGAAGACUGUCCCGCUCCUCAGGGAGGGGAAAAGGCUGUCCGUGUCUGCACACAUUGGGGCCAGGCGAGCCUUGACUGGAGCCUCUGCCUGGGGCCGGCGUGCUUCUGCUUGUGGCUGAGGGAGGUGACUUCCGAUGGGAUGUGAUUUCAGGACUGGAAACUUACCUGACGUUCCUGGAAGACCUGGUUCUCCCAGCUGCCAGCCGCCUGGGGAUGGGAGCGCCGGGGGUGAAGCUUCAUUCCUUCUGCUAAAAUGCAAACACACCCAACAGGAUCGUAAAGCUGUUUGCUUUUAUAAGUCGUUUACAUCUCAGUGAGAGCGAGGCUCUGAUUUACCAUGAGCACAGAUUUAAAGGAAAAGUGGAAGAGAAAGGAGCGUGAGGGUGCUUAGAUUUGGGCAAGACAGGGAAAGGGGCCUGUUUGGAAGCAGUGAUGAGACUAAGUAGACGCCCCAGGUGGAGAGGGAGAAGGCAGAAAAUGUUUGUGAGCCUCUAGUGUCCUGUAUUUGUUCCCGAGGUGUGUUCCGUGGAACAGUCUGCUCAGGUACCCUGCAUUUAAGAAGGCUUCCAUGCUCAGGUGAGUCUGACAGAGUCUGCAUGCCACAGUUCACUUUCAGAUAAUCAUUGUCCACACUGGCGUUUUAAAGGACCUGAGAAGUCCUGCAGUGAGCAGCCAGUUUCCAAAGCGUAUUUGACUUCAGAACAGUCUCCACUCCCAUUACACCUGUAAACAGCCUUUGGACUAAGAGAAAUCUCCCGCAGAAGCUUCCAGGCGGGACCUUGGACAGGGCCCUAACGUCCCGCGGAUUGCUGUCUGUCGGGCGGGGUCACAGCCUAGACUAGCGCACGACACGUCCAUGCUGCAUCCGGUGUGUGAGGUUCUGCUGGUCGCCUCUGUCCUGCAGCAGGAAAGCAGGUGAGAUCCUAGCAUCCUGUGUGUCUGGGGUCAAUCCUGGUUCUGGCACUAGUAAUCCCUACUAAGUUUGCUCUGGGUUUCAGCGAGAGCCCAGUGAGAUAAGUGAAGCUCAGGUUUAUUUUAUUACCCUCUUCCCAGCCAGAGCUCUGGGGUGGAUAGGACAACCCCCCAGCCACCAGGGACCCGAGCUCCUCUUUUAUCUGGCUGCGCCAGCGUCCUGAGAGCCCGGUUCCCGCCCCACCCUCUCCGGGCCGCGGGACCUCUGGUCCGGACCUCUGUGUUGCCAGCAGGGGGCAGUUCAGUCUCCCCUGAAGAGUCUUCUCGGUGAUUUUUGCUUCUCUCUCCUUGGCCCUCCCUGACUAGGAAAUGUAGUAUUUGGGAUGGACAUGUUGCCAACCCAAAUAAAACUUUUCAGGAACACGCAUUUCGGGCAGGUACCUAGCCGUGUCUGACACAGGAGCUGCGUAACUUUGGGCAGAUAACGGUAGUGACUUCCCAAAGUCCAUCAGUCUCCUAGGGUUGCCGUAACAAAGCCUCGCAGGCUGAAUGGCUCACGACCGCAGGAGUGUGUUGUCUGGUCGUCCAGGCAGCCAGGAGGCUGAAUCAGCAUGUCAGUAGCGUGGGAUCCUUUGCUGGAGGCCAGGAGGGAGACACCGCACGCUCUCUCCCAGCGUCUGAGGGACACUGGUUGGGGGAGGGAGAACUUCCCCUCCAGCCUCGUGGGGUCCCUGGCUGGAUCUGCACCUGGAGCUGACGAAGACAGGAACGGGAGGGAAGCUUGUAAAUGUAUGGAAUGUAAGUUCUAUGGGAUGCGGGGGGCCUUCGUGAGGAAAUGAAGGCCUGAGGACGUGGUUAGAUGCGUCUGAUGAAGGGGGGACAGCUGUCAGAGGGCCAGGAGUAGGGGGGAGGCGAGCUAAGCUGUGGGACGCUCCACAAGGCCUGGUGUCCCUCUGUGUUCAGAGAUAAGGCUGCUCCCUUCCUCCCGGUCUGGUGAGGGGCCCUCUCCCACGACAGCCCGGUGACCUUCAAGGACACGGGUGCAGUGGGCACGUGGGGUCCGUGACCUUCCUGCCGCUCAAGCUCCCUCACCUUCAAAGGCGCGCUCUGCCCCGGUGCCUAGGUUGAGGAGUGUGUCCCUGGCUUGCAGGCCCAUCGCUGCCGUCUGGCUCAUCGUCUGUGUCUCUGCGUUCAGGGCCCACCGCAGUCUUUGCCUUACACCUGCAAGGACCCCGUCUCCACAGCAGGUCACAUUCCAAGGCUCCACCAGACUGCACAGGAUCCCCGCGACAAUGAAGUGUCACCGGCACAGCCUGACCUAGCAGGAACUCGGAUCUUUCUACCCAGAAGCGAGUGUGAGGCUAUGCACACAUCACAAAACUCUUUCUGGAAGUUGUAGUACAGAAAGGGAGUACCUUUCCUGCCUCCUUUAUGCUUGUUUUUGUGUAGCGUCACGGCAUUUAGUUCUAUAAGCAGGUGAAUCCUCAGAUUUAAACCCGGGCGCACCAGCUCUUGGACUUGAGAACUGUCGCGCACCUGUGCCUUGGGAGGAAGUGUUGGAAUAUUAUCACAAGUGCCGGUAACAGGCAGGGCCUUCUGGGUCAGACGCCAAGCUGGGGUGGUCUGCUGAAGCGCAUGCGGCUCACUUUCUGCAACCCGAGAAUCUUACACGGUGAUGGAGUCUGAGGAGAUUAAACCCAAGGUCUGCACGUUCCCCUCACCGUCUGUCAUUUGACUUGAAAGAUCUGUGGCCCCAAACCCAGGAACACAAAGCAGAAUGGAAGUUGACGUGACCAGAUUUUGUAGUGAAAAUCCGUACCGAAGAUUUGACAUUUUCUGUAUUUGGGGCCAUGAAAUUAAAGAAGAAAAGCCACGCAGGAGCAAGCGCAGGUGGGGAUGCCGCCGGACCGCGGGCAAAGCAUGUGGAAGAGUAUCCAGCCGGUAAUACGGACUCGCGAAAUUCUAGUAUCAGAAUCAUCAUCGUAGUUGUGUCUGUGUUUUCUGAUGUUACGAGUGUGCAUGUGUUAAUGUGAUC